ACCCAUGAGGUGAUUGUUAUUCUUAGACUGUUUGGCUCGGUCUUGCUUGUGGGGGAAUCCGACCCCAACAAAGUUGUACCUUGACGGAAGAGAGCACGAAUGGGAUCGGUGCGGGUGUCUGGAAAGUGCCUGAAGAAGGUUCAUGUGAUGAUCAAACUCUGGAAUGCUACUGGGAGUACUGACUGUACCAAAACCUCCUCCAACAGUGCCACAGGGAACAAGCAAGCCCCAUAUCAACAGUUUUUCUCCUAACAGCUUUUACUCUCUCCAGCCUCAUGGUUUUCUCCUCAUCUUCAUCAGACUCAGGCAGCAGGCGAUUAUCUUCAGCUACCCACUAGUCAGUAACAUCAAGUAUAGAAUCAUCAUCAGCUACUCUCUCACCGUCAGCUUUUUCCUUGGCUUCCUCAGGCUUAGUCUUGGGGACAGAAGAAGUAUCACCGUCGGCUUUUUCCUUGGCUUCCUUAGGUGAUUUUGGCUUUUUUAUUGUCACCUUUGGAGUCACCUUUGUAGCAGCCUUUCUUCCUCUUUUGGCUGGCUCUUUCACA
rnacentral:sRNA from 1 species